AGUCUGCAACCCGACUCCACGAAGCUGGAUUCGCUAGUAAUCGCGCAUCAGCCACGGCGCGGUGAAUACGUUCCCGGGCCUUGUACACACCGCCCGUCAAGCCAUGGGAGCCGGGGGUACCUGAAGUGCGUAACCGCGAGGAUCGCCCUAGGGUAAAACUGGUGACUGGGGCUAAGUCGUAACAAGGUAUC
rnacentral:rRNA from 1 species